CACGUAGGGCGCAAGCGUUGUCCGGAAUUAUUGGGCGUAAAGAGCUCGUAGGCGGUCUGUGCGUCCGCUGUGAAAACUCGGGGCUUAACCCCGAGCCUGCAGUGGAUACGGGCAGACUAGAGGUAGGUAGGGGAGAAUGGAAUUCCCGGUGUAGCGGUGAAAUGCGCAGAUAUCGGGAGGAACACCGGUGGCGAAGGCGGUUCUCUGGGCCUUACCCUGACGCUGAGGAGCGAAAGCGUGGGGAGCGAACAGG
rnacentral:rRNA from 1 species